UAUGGCCACAUCACAUUGAUACAGUGGUCCCCAUACAAUCACUGAAGUUAAGCAACGCCAAGCCUGGUCAGUACCUAGACGGUGACUGCUUGGGAACAGUAGGUGCUGUAA